rnacentral:rRNA from 1 species
UACGGGGGGAGCAAGCGUUGUUCGGAUUUACUGGGCGUAAAGGGCGCGUAGGCGGCGUAACAAGUCACUUGUGAAAUCUCCGGGCUUAACCCGGAGCGGCCAAGUGAUACUGUUGUGCUAGAGUGCGGAAGGGGCUACUGGAAUUCUCGGUGUAGCGGUGAAAUGCGUAGAGAUCAUGAGGAAGACCAGUGGCGAAGGCGGGUCUCUGGACAGUUCCUGACACUGAGGCACGAAGGCCAGGGGAGCAAACGGG